UACGUAGGGGGCGAGCGUUGUCCGGAUUCAUUGGGCGUAAAGCGCUCGUAGGCGGCUUCUCAAGUCGGCCGUGAAAUCUCCGGGCUCAACUCGGAGGGGUCGGGCGAGACUGCGAGGCUCGAGGUGGGCAGAGGGCAGUGGAAUUCCGGGUGUAGUGGUGGAAUGCGUAGAGAUCCGGAGGAACACCAGUGGCGAAGGCGGCUGCCUGGGCCUGGCCUGACGCUGAGGCGCGAAAGCCAGGGGAGCGAACGGG
rnacentral:rRNA from 1 species